CCUAGGCUACAGAGGGAGGACUCGGUUCCCUAUCUGCGCCUAAGGGAAAGUCCCCUGACGGAGAGCAGAGUGUCCCAUGCACCUCCCCUGCCUCUCACCUUCAAUCUGCCAAGAAGCCAGUGAGAUUAUAAAAGCCAGGGGCGUGGUUACCGCGGUGCAGCCAAAAGGAGGGAUUUAUCUGC
rnacentral:sRNA from 1 species